rnacentral:rRNA from 1 species
AUUGAACGCUGGCGGCAGGCCUAACACAUGCAAGUCGAACGAGUGGCGGACGGGUGAGUAAUGUCUGGGAAACUGCCUGAUGGAGGGGGAUAACUACUGGAAACGGUAGCUAAUACCGCAUACCAUCGGAUGUGCCCAGAUGGGAUUAGCUAGUAGGUGGGGUAACGGCUCACCUAGGCGACGAUCCCUAGCUGGUCUGAGAGGAUGACCAGCCACGCUGGAACGUAGCACCGGUCCUGGCUCCUACGGGAGGCAGCAGUGGGGAAUAUUGCACCAUGGGCGCAAGCCUGAUGCAGCCAUGCCGCGUGUAUGAAGAAGGCCUUCGGGUUGUAAAGUACUUUCAGCGGGGAGGCGUUACUCGCAGAAGAAGCACCGGCUAACUCCGUGCCAGCCGCCGCGGUAAUUC